rnacentral:rRNA from 2 species
CAUGUGUAGCGGUGAAAUGCGUAGAUAUAUGGAAGAACACCAGUGGCGAAGGCGGCUGUCUGGUCUGUAACUGACGCUGAGGCUCGAAAGUAUGGGUAGCAAACAGGAUUAGAUACCCUGGUAGUCCAUACCGUAAACGAUGAAUGCUAAGUGUUGGAGGGUUUCCGCCCUUCAGUGCUGCAGCUAACGCAUUAAGCAUUCCGCCUGGGGAGUACGGCCGCAAGGCUGAAACUCAAAGGAAUUGACGGGGGCCCGCACAAGCGGUGGAGCAUGUGGUUUAAUUCGAAGCUACGCGAAGAACCUUACCAGGUCUUGACAUACUAUGCAAAUCUAAGAGAUUAGACGUUCCCUUCGGGGACAUGGAUACAGGUGGUGCAUGGUUGUCGUCAGCUCGUGUCGUGAGAUGUUGGGUUAAGUCCCGCAACGAGCGCAACCCUUAUUAUCAGUUGCCAGCAUUAAGUUGGGCACUCUGGUGAGACUGCCGGUGACAAACCGGAGGAAGGUGGGGAUGACGUCAAAUCAUCAUGCCCCUUAUGACCUGGGCUACACACGUGCUACAAUGGAUGGUACAACGAGUUGCGAACUCGCGAGAGUAAGCUAAUCUCUUAAAGCCAUUCUCAGUUCGGAUUGUAGGCUGCAACUCGCCUACAUGAAGUCGGAAUCGCUAGUAAUCGCGGAUCAGCAUGCCGCGGUGAAUACGUUCCCGGGCCUUGUACACACCGCCCGUCACACCAUGAGAGUUUGUAACACCCAAAGUCGGUGGGGUA